AUUGAACGCUAGCGGGAUGCCUUACACAUGCAAGUCGAACGGAGUGGCGAACGGGUGAGUAAUGUAUCGGAACGUGCCCAGUCGCGGGGGCUAACUACGCGAAAGCGUCGCUAAUACCGCAUCCUCUUGGGGCGGCCUGUAUCGGAUUAGCUAUUUGGGGGGGUAACGGCUCACCAAGGCGACGAUCCGUAGCUGGUUUGAGAGGACGACCAGCCACACUGGGACUGAGAGACGGCCCAGACUCCGACGGGAGGCAGCAGUGGGGAAUUUUGGACAAUGGGGGAAACCCUGAUCCAGCCAUCCCGCGUGUGCGAUGAAGGCCUUCGGGUUGUAAAGCACUUUUGGCAGGAAAGCGGUACCUGCAGAAUAAGCACCGGCUAACUACGUGCCAGCCGCCGCGGUAAUUC
rnacentral:rRNA from 1 species